GCUGGCGGCGUGCCUAACACAUGCAAGUCGAACGCGAAAGUCCCGCAAGGGAUCAGUAGAGUGGCAAACGGGUGAGUAACGCGUGGGUGACCUGCCUUCGAGCGGGGGAUAACGUUCCGAAAGGGACGCUAAUACCGCAUGACAUCCUGUCUUUGAACAGAUGGAGAUCAAAGCUGCGGAUCGCAAGACGUAGCACUCGAAGAGGGGCCCGCGUCCGAUUAGCUAGUUGGUGGGGUAACGGCUCACCAAGGCAACGAUCGGUAGCCGGCCUGAGAGGGCGGACGGCCACACUGGGACUGAGACACGGCCCAGACUCCUACGGGAGGCAGCAGUGGGGAAUUGUUCGCAAUGGGCGCAAGCCUGACGACGCAACGCCGCGUGGAGGAUGAAGACCUUCGGGUCGUAAACUCCUUUCGAUCGAGACGAAUUCCCCUGGGGUGAACAAUCCCGGGGGUUGACGGUACCGAGAGAAGAAGCCCCGGCUAACUCCGUGCCAGCAGCCGCGGUAAUACGGGGGGGGCAAGCGUUGUUCGGAAUUACUGGGCGUAAAGGGC
rnacentral:rRNA from 1 species